CAAAGGCUUGGUCCUGACUUUACUAUCAGCUGUAACUCAAUUUAUACAUGCAAGUAUCCGCACCCCAGUGAGAAUGCCCUUAACUCUCCGCCCGAGAAUGAGGAGCAGGCAUCAGGCACAACAUUAAGCCCAAGACGCCUUGCUACGCCACACCCCCAAGGGAAUUCAGCAGUAAUAAACAUUAAGCCAUAAGUGAAAACUUGACUUAGUUAGGGUUAAUAAGGGUCGGUAAAACUCGUGCCAGCCACCGCGGUUAUACGAGAGACCCUAGUUGAUAGACACGGCGUAAAGAGUGGUUAAGGAACUAUUAAAAUAAAGCCGAACACUUCCUAGACCGUCAUACGUUUUCUGGAAACACGAAGCCCAAACACGAAAGAAGCUUUACACCAUACACCUGACCCCACGAAAGCUAAGAAACAAACUGGGAUUAGAUACCCCACUAUGCUUAGCCUUAAACAUAGAUGCCCCAUUACCCCAAGCAUCCGCCCGAGUACUACAAGCAUAAGCUUAAAACUCAAAGGACUUGGCGGUGUCUCAGACCCACCUAGAGGAGCCUGUUCUAGAACCGAUAACCCCCGUUAAACCUCACCACCCCUUGUUUUCCCCGCCUAUAUACCGCCGUCGUCAGCUUACCCUGUGAAGGAUAAAUAGUAAGCAAAAUGAAUAAAACUCAAAACGUCAGGCCGAGGUGUAGCGAACGAGGUGGGAAGAAAUGGGCUACAUUUUCUACCAUAGAAUACUCACGAAUGACAUCAUGAAACACAUGCCUGAAGGUGGAUUUAGUAGUAAAAAGAAAACAGAGUGUUCUUUUGAAUCUGGCUCUGAGACGCGCACACACCGCCCGUCACCCUCCCCCCCCUCAACCAUAAAUCAAGUACUUAACACACCAACCUCAGAUUCGGGGAGGCAAGUCGUAACAUGGUAAGUGUACCGGAAGGUGCACUUGGAAUAAU
rnacentral:ncRNA from 1 species